rnacentral:rRNA from 1 species
UAGAUGCGAGAGUAGAGCAUAUCAAUAAGCGGAGGAAAAGAAACUAACAAGGAUUCCCUUAGUAACGGCGAGUGAAGCGGGAAGAGCUCAAAUUUGAAAUCUUCAAGGUUCUACCUUGACGAAUUGUAGUUUAUAGAAGUGUUUUCUGUUAGUAGAGUGGUAAAAGUUCUUUGGAAUAGGACAUCAUAGAGGGUGAGAAUCCCGUAUUUGGAUCAUUUCUUUCUCAGCUUUGUGAUACACUUUCAAAGAGUCGGAUUGUUUGGGAAUGCAGUCCAAAAUGGGUGGUAAAUUUCAUCUAAAGCUAAAUAUUGGCGAGAGACCGAUAGCGAACAAGUACCGUGAGGGAAAGAUGAAAAGAACUUUGAAAAGAGAGUUAAACAGUACGUGAAAUUGUCAAAAGGGAAGCGUUUGACACCAGUGUUGUUUUUCCGAAAAUCAAUUACGAAUGUUUUGUUUUUGAGGAGUUAUGACUUCAUCGGCUUGCUCCUUUCUUUAUGAAACUUUCUUAAUGCACUUUUCGGUUAACAAGUCAACAUCAAUUUCUUUUGUUGUAAAAGGGUAUGAGGAAGGUGGCUUUCUUUUCGGAGAAAGUGUUUAUAGCCUUGUGACCUCUGCAAUCGGAGAGAUUGAGGUCUGCAGCGUAGAUCCUUCGGGGUUAGAUACAGUUUGUGCUAAGUUAUAGCUUUUCAUAGACAACUUGUUGACUAUGUUUAGUCUUGUAGCUUACUCGCUUAUGCUAUUUUACCUACGCUUAGGAUGUUGACGCGCGUGUGUGCGUG